AUGACUUGCAUUUAUAAAAGUGCCAUUAUGAAUGUUAUUUACAAUCACAGGUAAUGGGGUUGGUAACUCGCUUCAUUCACCAUGAAUAUAGAUCAACAUUUGUCAUUUGUAACAGAAUCAUAACCACACAUUAGCAGUAUUGGACAGAUAUUGAUUUAUAAAUCCCAAUUGAUCAUGACUGGAUUGUCAGUUUAUCAGGACAAGAUUACGAAUUUGGUCAAAAAACUGUCUCUGUGACAACGGCCAUUGCAAUGCCCACCAUCUGUAUUCGUUUGGCAAGAGAUGAUAAGCGGGCUUCAACAGACAAAUUCCAGCUAACUAGUCGCUGCCAUUUCUGUUGCUAUCAUAGAUCUGUUACAGGCAGGACAAGCAGCUCGGACAACAAUGGUGUUUGGCUGAAAUCAGCGCAGUUUUGUUCAGCACCAAAGCCUCUUAUAAACUGAAAACCCAAAUGAAUAAUCUAUUUAUUUUAUAGGAAGUAACCAAAUAAAGCAAUGCUGUUUCGGCGAGCCUCUUAUUCGGAAUGAUGCGAUCAGGAAGUGUGCGGUUUAUUGCUGUUGAACAAUCAAGAAGAUUUUUGUGAAGUGUGAUAAAGCAGUUAUUUUCACAGGCUAACAGGCACAGUUGGCGUAAACGUGGGCCAGUCCUCCAGAGGCCUUCGUGGAUGAAGAACACAGGAAACGGUGGAGCCUGGCUUCUGUGUUCGAGAGCCGACCGCCUCGAGCCAAAGCAGGAUCGCAGGAAAAGCCAGGAGAAGAGCAGCUCUCAUCUCUGCGUGCCUGCGUACCUCUUUUCAGAAGGAGGCAUUCUGGGCUUCAGGCACAUAGUAAACAAUGAAGUCCAGCUUUAAUGAUGUCAUAAAUCAAGUCAAGAACUUUCAGAAGCAGCAGUCAUCACUGGAGAAGAAAGGGAGAGAUUUCAAAUGAAUAGCAGUUCUCCACAGUAGUCAAGGCAGCUGAGUCACUGUCUUCCACCGCAGGCUGAAAACUCACCCUGUUCAAACUGCAUCUCGUCUCAACUGACCCUGAACUCUGAGCAUUUGUUCUGGGUUGAAUACCCCUGCAUAUGCUACAUUUAAUGCAUUAAACAAAAUUCAAUGCUCUACUUAUAGCACUACAUCAUCAAUCUACCUUUUGUAAGAGGCAUUUAAUAUGAUGCUGUAGAUGUAUGUAAUGACUCCUACUACUGGUUGUGACAGUGAUUACUUGGUAUCAUCUGUGCUCUGGGUCUUUCUUGCAUGCAGUGCUUUAAGUUCCUUGGGAUAAGAGCAUCAGCUAAAUGACUGACAAUAAGUGGGUUAGGGGGUCACUGUCCUGGGAAAUGGAUCCAAGCCAGCUAGGUAAAACGUGGUAGAACCAACCAAAUUGAAGAGGGGGGGAGAGAGAAAGAGAGAAAGAGAGAGGGAGAGAGAGAGAGAGCAUCUGGGGUUGAAACUAAUGAAGCAGUGCAGCUG